GACGAACGCUGGCGGCGUGCUUAACACAUGCAAGUCGCGGGGGUGAGCAAUCACUCACCGGCGAACGGGUGCGUAACACGUGAGCGACCUGCCCACCUGUGGGGUAUAGCCGGCCCAACGGCCGGGUAAUCCCGCAUACGCUUCUCAGGCUGCAUGGUCUGGGGAGAAAAGCCGCAAGGCGCAGGUGGAGGGGCUCGCGGCCUAUCAGCUAGUUGGCGGGGUAACGGCCCACCAAGGCAAUGACGGGUAGCUGGUCUGAGAGGAUGGCCAGCCACAUUGGGACUGAGAUACGGCCCAGACUCCUACGGGAGGCAGCAGUGGGGAAUCUUGCGCAAUGGUCGAAAGACUGACGCAGCGACGCCGCGUGCGGGAGGAAGCCCUUCGGGGUGUAAACCGCUGUUACUCGGGGACGAACCCUCUCGAUUUCAUCGAGAUUGACGGUACCGGGGGAAGGAAGCACCGGCUAACUCUGUGCCAGCAGCCGCGGUAAUACAGAGGGUGCGAGCGUUGUCCGGAAUCACUGGGCGUAAAGGGCGCGUAGGCGGCUUCUCAAGCGUGCGGUGAAAGCUCGGGGCUUAACUCCGAGUCAGCCGUGCGAACUGGGAGGCUUGAGUCUGGUAGAGGUCGAUGGAAUUCCGGGUGUAGCGGUGGAAUGCGUAGAGAUCCGGAAGAACACCGGUGGCGAAGGCGGUCGACUGGGCCAGAACUGACGCUGAGGCGCGACAGCGUGGGGAGCAAAACAGGAUUAGAUACCCUGGUAGUCCCUAAGAU
rnacentral:rRNA from 1 species